GUGUUCGCUUUGGCAGCACAUAUACUAAAAGUGGAAUGAUAUAGAGAAGAUUAGCAUGGCCCCUGUGCAAAGAUGACAUGCAAAUUUGUGAAGCAUUCCAUAUUAAA
ensembl:snRNA U6 U6 spliceosomal RNA